GGAAAAGUCGUAACAAGGAUUCCGUAGGUGAACCUGCGGAAGGAUCAUUAACACGUAUCCAACGUUUAACCACCCCGUGCACCUUCAUUUGACAACCCCCUGCCAACCCAUUCUUUGCGGAAUCAACUUUCGGAAGGCGGCACGUCGCAUAGGGGAGCCGGUGAGCCAAGUUUUGAGUGACCACUCAAGGUUUGCGUCAAGGGAACUCGGAUCCCUGUAAGCAAGCUCUUGAAGUCUCUGAAUCUUGGUUUGCUGCCUCGACGAGGAAACGACGCCGGGAGAGUGCAACAGGUUUCGGCUGUGUUGUACAAAAUCCUUUAGCGUUUCACCAAAGUGCUCGCUGCCCAUCCGAAUUAUGCUCUGCAACGUGUGUGUUGUGCAUCCCAUCGUGGUACCCAUAUUUACCGCGGAAAACUAUGACUACCCCAAACCAACCGUGCUUGGGUCUAACCACCCGAGUCGGAAACCCGAACAACUGUUAACAAUGGAUAUCUUGGCUCUC
rnacentral:misc_RNA from 1 species